CUGGAAACUGGUAAAAACAUAGGGAAAUGUUUAAUAUGAUAUAAUAACUACAGUUAAAGAUAAUCAUAAAAAAUAACUUAGAUAAAUAGCUUAUUUUCUUCUGAUUUCAACUUUUCCAAAUAUUAUCUUAAAAGCAACUUUUCUUAAGCUAGUCUCGUUUUCUGUCCAAGUUUUGUCUCCUGAAUGACAGUAUUUAUCUCAGCUUUUGAUAUUCUCUGGGAGUAAACUGUAAGUAAAAUAAUGAUGGUAUUCCUUAAGAAGACAAUGCAAUGAUAGCAAUGCUACAUCUGCAAGGAAUUAAGAGGUCUGUGAUACACACUGUGCAAGGAGAACUCUGCAAAUUACAAGUACUCAGUUUACCAGAAUUAUGUAUGACAAUAACAACAAAAAGUACGUUAAAAAAGUCUUUUUCAAAAAAUGCAAUCACUAAUUCUCUUCAUUAUAUCUGAUGUCCUGAUUUUUUAGUAUGUGAUAAAUUGACUACAGAAGGAUAAAUUGAAUAUAGAAGUGGUUCUGUUCCAACACAUCACAGUCAUUUUAACUUGACUCAGAUGAUUGUAUGACAAAAAUACCUAUUUCUACUUAUUACUGUCUAUCAAAGAAUCACAUGCAUACUAUAUGUAUUAAUGUAAAUAUGGAUUCUUUCAUAUAAUAUACUCAGUAUGUGUGUGUGUGUGUGGGGGGGGUGUGACUUGUUUUUAUUAGAAAACUCCAUUUGGUAAGUGCUUCUCUAACCCAAGAGACUGAGAAUCCUCUGAAAGUUCAGAGUCUUUCAUUUAAUCUUUUCACCCUCUUUUGAGAGAGGAGGGUAGGGGAUGGGGCUGUCUCAGGCAGUCUCAGAAGAGACCUCUGAGUGCUCAUGUUGCCAGUGAUAUACCACCAGCAUCUUGGUGAAGUUCUAGAGGGCCCUCUCAUCUCAAGACUGGGGCUGAAAGAGUUCCAGUUUGUAUGGCUUCA
rnacentral:lncRNA from 1 species